GCUGGAGAGAAAGAGAAGAAACUUCGUUUGAUAACAAAGACCAGAGACGUUCCUGCUGGAGAGACACAGACAGCAGAACCGUCAACCAGUUUGGCGAAUCCAUCCGAGGCAAACAAACAGCGUGAGGCGUUUUCCACGCCGCCCACCGGCGAUCUGCGGCGCGCUGCCCGACGCUCGGCCCUGAAGGAAGAUCAAACCCAGAUGGACGCUGGCGAACCGCAGCUGAAAAACAAGAACCGGUUCUGAUAAUCUGAGACACGUCCAGACAACAAUCAUGUGGAUGUUGAUAACGGCUGAGAAUAAGUGCGACAGAUCCAUUUGGAUGCGGCGUCAGAGGAGAGCCGGGGGCGCGAUGGGUGUGUUUUAUCGCUGCCAAGGAGGAAGCUGCUCCAUUAAUCUGCUCC